ensembl:lncRNA
GAAAAUGAAACCUUUUGGCCCAAACAAGGACAAACCAAAUCCUUAUAAAUAUAUUGCUUGAUGUUAAUGUUUCUUUUGGUCAAAUGUGUGAUACUCUAGCUGAUAAAUAAUACGCUCAGGAUAAAGAAUACUCAGAAAUAUAGUUUUAUUCAACUACUGAACUAGCCACCAUUUUGCAUUCAAAGACAGAGGAGUGGUCAGAGGUCACCAAAAAAAUAAAUACUGAAACCAUAAAACCCAAUAACCCAUGUAAGAGCUCCGUAAUUCAAAUAUAGUCACUUGAUUUCACCAAACGGAUCGUCGAUACUGUGAACAAACACAAAGAUGCAGAGAAAACAGAUUCUUGUUGCCCUUCUCUUGCUCAUUCGAGCAUGUGUGCCCAUAGUGGCCCAGGAGUCAGAGGAGUCAGAGGAGUCAGAGGGCUGGCUGCAGCAGGCAGGUGAUAUAUACAGGACUGCCAAAGCUGAAGCCCACAAAAUUGAAGUGGUACUGGGCUUGGCAGGUGCAUUCUACGAGGAACACGUGAAACUGUUAGCCGGUAACUACACGGAUUGGGCCUCAGCCUCAACCAGUUCCUUCUGGAAACAAGUCAAAGCCCAGUUCACUUGAGUACAGACCCAACUAAUGGCACAUGAAAAAAGCAGACAAAAACAAAACUUAGUGCUAAAUACAUUAUGGAAAGGCUAGAGUAGGAUGCAUUCUACAGUCAUGUGCACUUGGGAUUAAAAGGAGGAAAUAAGAUAUAAAGAUGAUGCAUUAGAAAUAUGUGGUUGUGAACUAUUGUAAACUAGUGAAGCAAACCAAAUAAAUAAAUAAAGAGAAACUCCCUUACUGCACUCUGGUGUUGUACCUUCUUAUACAUUCACAUUUGACCAUGUCUUUCCAGCUUCCAUCCAUCAAUCAGUGAGUUGAAUGAAGUAAAAAGCAGAGACAGAGAGCAGAUUGUAGAAUGGAGAAAAAGAAAACAUGAAAGGUCAGACCGAGGGACAGACACAGACCAUGACAUCAGCAAUGGGAGUAAUAUCUACAGAGUGUUCUGAAAUCCUAGGCUUAUCAAGUGGAGAAUUGACAGAUGAGAUACAAGGUUCAGCAGGUCUGGCUGAAGGGGAGAUGUGUGGGUUGUGUGACCUGAAGGCUAUUUGUCUCUGCUCUCUGUGGACUGCAGACAUCGAUCCUGGAACACAGUCAAGACACAUUCAGGGCAAUGUUCUAGUCAAAAUCUCUCCUUGAGUAAAUGGGAUUUAAUAAAAAUUGUAAAUCAUACUACAUGGA